GAGGGAAGGCGAUUCUGGAGGAAACAGGAGAGGAAUUCACAACGAAAGAGAGUGAUCGAAUUUCCAAAGACUGAGGGGCUGGGUACGAAAGAAUCAGAGGAAUUCAAGACGGCUUUAGCACUGCCCUUAACCAAAGACUCUGAGUGUGAAGGUAAAUCAAGAAUGCUCGAGAAGACAUUUUGGACGGGCUGCAACAGUUCUAUAGAGAAACUUCUACAGUUGAAUCAAUACUAUAAGGAUAAAUUCUCUUUGGAAGCUAGAGGUUAUUCUAGUGAAUAGAGUGAAGGUUCAACUUAAUAACGGUUAAGUUAGGACGAAAGAGGUUUGAAUCAUAAACUUUUUUUUCUUCUCUGUUUUGUUGAUUUAUAGGUAAUGGACAUGUCUGGAUUUUUGUGGCUGUAGGAUUUCUUUUUUCAUGAUAGAUAUUUUUAUUGAACGCUGUAUGAUGUUUUCGAUGAUGCCGGGGUUUGCGAUUAUCAUAUUGGGUUUGUCAUCAACAAGGAGAAGGAGGGUGAGUUUUGGAGUUUUAUUGAGGAGAGCAGGACAGCUGCAGGUUAUUUGUGGUGACUAAACUUUUUUUUUGCCUUAUAAAUGGGGAUGGUAAGAUCAGAGGGAGCAUAGGAGAUUAGCAAUUACGGUCUGAACUAUUACAUAUUCCAGAGAAAUGUGACAUUAUGGGAAGAUAGUGCUAGAAAGGUUGACAUAGAGACUAUUAAUGAAAGUCUACCUCUACCCGUGCUUAUGGUGAUAACCAGUUUGAAAGUGAAGAAGUACAAAGAAAUGCCUGCACCAUCAAACACCAGUCAUACUUGCAUUUUCAUAAAUCCAGAAACCCCACAGGCAGAACCCUUCAAAAUUGAGUAAGUUGAAUAUUUAGCAUUUUUUGAUGCACCACAACUUCUUACUCACUGCAUGUUUCUUACCAACAUUUCUGCAAAAUUCAAGGUUCUCUAAGGCAAUAGAUAAUAUCAAAAAACUGCCCACUCCAUGCAAACAAUUAACAGCAGCAGAAGUGGAAAAAAAGGAUAAAACCAGUGCAUCAAUUGAACAAGCUUAACCCCCAGAAAUACAAGG